AACGAACGCUGGCGGCAGGCCUAACACAUGCAAGUCGAACGCCCUAGCAAUAGGGAGUGGCAGACGGGUGAGUAACGCGUGGGAACGUGCCUUUCGGUUCGGAAUAACUCAGGGAAACUUGAGCUAAUACCGGAUACGCCCUUCGGGGGAAAGAUUUAUUGCCGAAAGAUCGGCCCGCGUCCGAUUAGCUAGUUGGUGAGGUAAAGGCUCACCAAGGCGACGAUCGGUAGCUGGUCUGAGAGGAUGAUCAGCCACACUGGGACUGAGACACGGCCCAGACUCCUACGGGAGGCAGCAGUGGGGAAUAUUGGACAAUGGGCGCAAGCCUGAUCCAGCCAUGCCGCGUGAGUGAUGAAGGCCCUAGGGUUGUAAAGCUCUUUCGCCAGGGACGAUAAUGACGGUACCUGGAUAAGAAGCCCCGGCUAACUUCGUGCCAGCAGCCGCCGUAAAAC
rnacentral:rRNA from 1 species